rnacentral:rRNA from 1 species
CAAAGGUGAGCCAGUACAGGAUGGACCCGCGUCUGAUUAGCUAGUUGGUAAGGUAACGGCUUACCAAGGCGACGAUCAGUAGCCGACCUGAGAGGGUGAUCGGCCACAUUGGAACUGAGACACGGUCCAAACUCCUACGGGAGGCAGCAGUGGGGAAUAUUGCACAAUGGGCGAAAGCCUGAUGCAGCAACGCCGCGUGAGUGAUGAAGGCCUUCGGGUCGUAAAACUCUGUCCUCAAGGAAGAUAAUGACGGUACUUGAGGAGGAAGCCCCGGCUAACUACGUGCCAGCAGCCGCGGUAAUACGUAGGGGGCUAGCGUUAUCCGGAUUUACUGGGCGUAAAGGGUGCGUAGGCGGUCUUUCAAGUCAGGAGUGAAAGGCUACGGCUCAACCGUAGUAAGCUCUCGAAACUGGGAGACUUGAGUGCAGGAGAGGAGAGUGGAAUUCCUAGUGUAGCGGUGAAAUGCGUAGAUAUUAGGAGGAACACCAGUUGCGAAGGCGGCUCUCUGGACUGUAACUGACGCUGAGGCACGAAAGCGUGGGGAGCAAACAGGAUUAGAUACCCUGGUAGUCCACGCUGUA